UUAGCGGCGGACGGGUGAGUAACACGUGGGUAACCUGCCUGUAAGACUGGGAUAACUCCGGGAAACCGGGGCUAAUACCGGAUGCUUGUUUGAACCGCAUGGUUCAGACAUAAAAGGUGGCUUCGGCUACCACUUACAGAUGGACCCGCGGCGCAUUAGCUAGUUGGUGAGGUAACGGCUCACCAAGGCGACGAUGCGUAGCCGACCUGAGAGGGUGAUCGGCCACACUGGGACUGAGACACGGCCCAGACUCCUACGGGAGGCAGCAGUAGGGAAUCUUCCGCAAUGGACGAAAGUCUGACGGAGCAACGCCGCGUGAGUGAUGAAGGUUUUCGGAUCGUAAAGCUCUGUUGUUAGGGAAGAACAAGUGCCGUUCAAAUAGGGCGGCACCUUGACGGUACCUAACCAGAAAGCCACGGCUAACUACGUGCCAGCAGCCGCGGUAAUACGUAGGUGGCAAAAGGCGUUUGUUCCCGGAAAAUUAUUUGGGGGCGUAAAAGGGGCUUCGCCAGGGCGGGUUUUCUUAAAGGUCUGAAGGUGAAAAGCCCCCCCGGGCUCAACCCGGGGGAGGGGUUCAUUGGAAAACUGGGGGAACCUUGAGUUGCAGAAAGAGGAAGAGUGGAAUUUCCCACGUGUAGCGGUGAAAAUGCGUAGAGAUGUGGAGGAACCACCAGUGGCGAAGGGCGACUCUCUGGUUCUGUAACUGACGCUGAGGAGCGAAAAUCGUGGGGAGACUACAGGAUUAUAUUCCCCUGGUAUUCCACCCCCUAAACCAUGAUUGCUAAGUGUUAGGGGGUCUCCGCCCUCCUUAGUGCUGCAGCUAACGCAUUAAGCACUCCGCCUGGGGGAGUACGGUGCGCAAGACUGAAACUCAAAGGAAUUGACGGGGCGGCCCGCAGUCAAGCGGUGGAGCAUGUGGUUUAAUGAUUCGAAGCAACGCGAAGAACCUUACCAGGUCUUGACAUCCUCUGACAAUCCUAGAGAUAGGACGUCCCCUUCGGGGGCAGAGUGACAGGUGGUGCAUGGUUGUCGUCAGCUCGUGUCGUGAGAUGUUGGGUUAAGUCCCGCAACGAGCGCAACCCUUGAUCUUAGUUGCCAGCAUUCAGUUGGGCACUCUAAGGUGACUGCCGGUGACAAACCGGAGGAAGGUGGGGAUGACGUCAAAUCAUCAUGCCCCUUAUGACCUGGGCUACACACGUGCUACAAUGGGCAGAACAAAGGGCAGCGAAACCGCGAGGUUAAGCCAAUCCCACAAAUCUGUUCUCAGUUCGGAUCGCAGUCUGCAACUCGACUGCGUGAAGCUGGAAUCGCUAGUAAUCG
rnacentral:rRNA from 1 species